rnacentral:rRNA from 1 species
AUGUUCGCUGCCAUGGCCAUCCUCCUCUCCUCCAUCGCUAGCCGGCUGAGGCUCCGCUGCCGGAACAAGAGGAUCACGUCCUCUUCGGUCAAUCCCCGCCCACCCUUCUUCUCCUGCGGCGGCGGCGGCGGCGACGCCCUCAGCCCUUUCGUGAAGCCGAAGACGACGAGGAAGCUCAAGGCGCCGUCGAGCAAAAGAUUCACGGAGCAUGAUCAGGACGGCCGCACGGUGGACGACGACGACGUCCACGAGCCGUGCCUGUGGCGAUGGGCGGCGGCUUCGGCAUGCACAGACUCCGCUCCUGAGCCCCGGCCGUUCUUCGGAAUUCGGAUGCAUUGA